rnacentral:rRNA from 1 species
GACAGAGGGUGCAAACGUUGUUCGGAUUUACUGGGCGUAAAGCGCGUGUAGGCGGCUUGGCAAGUUGGAUGUGAAAGCCCACGGCUCAACCGUGGAAGCGCAUCCAAAACUGCUUCGCUCGAGUCUCGGAGAGGAAGGUGGAAUGCUUGGUGUAGAGGUGAAAUGCGUAGAUAUCUGGAGGAACACCGGUGGCGAAGGCGGCAUCCUGGACCGACACUGACGCUGAGGAGCGAAAGCCAGGGGAGCAAACGGG